CCCUACGGGGCGCAGCAGGCGCGAAAACUUUACAAUGCGGGAAACCGUGAUAAGGGAACUCCGAGUGCCCGUAAACGCGGGCUGUCCAUCUGCUUAAAAAACAGGUGAAGAAAGGGCCGGGCAAGACCGGUGCCAGCCGCCGCGGUAAUACCGGCGGCUCGAGUGGUGGCCACUAUUACUGGGCUUAAAGCGUCCGUAGCUUGGUUGUUAAGUCUCUUGGGAAAUCUGUCGGCUUAACCGACAGGCGUUUAAGGGAUACUGGCAACCUAGGGACCGGGAGAGGUGAGAGGUACUUCAGGGGUAGGAGUGAAAUCCUGUAAUCC
rnacentral:rRNA from 1 species